CUGUCACUUGUUCUUUCAGUCCUUCGCUAGAGCAAAUCCCUUACAUCUCAGCAGACAGGCAGGAAGUGAAGACCAGUCAACUCAGGAGAGAAAGAAUGCAUUGUGUGCACAAUUCUGGAACUGGUUAUGAUCCACGCUGGACCCAUACACAGGCCUGUUUAUGUAUUCCUUUUAUUACAAGAAGAGCAUAUUUCUCAACAGGAUAACAAACUAAUUUCAGAAUAAACUUAUCAGGUGUCUGCUGGACAUCUGUUGAACUGUAAACAUCAGUACUACUUGGCAUAGACUGCAGCAAAAUUCCAGUAUUUCCUUAAACACUGCACAGCUAGGCCUUCUCCAGCACCUGCUAGGAAAGCAACAUUCUCAAAUAAGCAGAACUUUGAACAGAUUGAGACUGAUGAUGCCUGACUGAGAAGACAGAAAGAGAUCCUUCUGGUGAUAGGAAAAAAACCCAUAUAUACCUUCCAGCAGGAAUACAAAAUGGAAACAAAAGGCUUAACACACCAAGCUAAGACAUUUAUAAUGACCUAAGUGACUUUAAAGACUAGCACAUAUCAAAACAGAAGCACUGUACAACAAGCAAUCAACAUUCAUUCUAAAACAACUGAGAAUACAAGCCACAGUUUAUAAAUAUAAAUCACGACUAAAAGACUAUGCUCUCAAAACAUGUUGCUUUUCUUAGUUAUGCCAAAGCCUAGAAUUUUUUGUUAGCAAAUGAAACCUGGGACAAAGUAUUCUCUAUGAAGGCCAGCAUAGAGAAUGAAAUGACAAUAAAUCACUGCUGAAGAAGAGAUUUAUACCUCCCUGAGCUCCACAUUCCUAUCUGUAAGGGAUGUCUGGGUGAGAAAACUCCAAAGCAAGAUGCAGUGUAGAGAAUUGUGUGUAUAUUUUGUAUGAUAUAAAAAUGUUCUGAAAAUCAACUAUUCCUUAUUCACAAAGAAUUAUAGCUAUGGAGGGCAGCCCCAGUCUACUUGGGAAAAAAAAAAAAAAGUGAUCAGGCUAGAGCAAUAAUCAAAAUGUUGCCUCAUCUUACCCAAA